rnacentral:rRNA from 1 species
GAUGAACGCUGGCGGUAUGCUUUACACAUGCAAGUCGAACGCAAGUUUUUAACUUGAGUGGCGGACGGGUGAGUAACACGUGAGAAUUCGCCUUUAGGCGGGGAAUAACCAUCGGAAACAAUGGCUAAUGCCCCAUAUGCUCGAAAGAGUGAAAGGAGCAAUCCACCCAAAGAGAAGCUCGCGGCUGAUUAGCUAGUUGGUAAGGUAAUGGCUUACCAAGGCGACGAUCAGUAGCUGGUUUGAGAGAACGAUCAGCCACACUGGAACUGAGACACGGUCCAGACUCCUACGGGUGGCUG